UGGGGAAUAUUGGAUAAUGGGCGAAAGCCUGAUCCAGCCAUGCCGCGUGUGUGAAGACGGUCUUCGGAUUGCAAAGCACUUUAAGUUGGGAGGAAGGGCAGUAAGCGAAUACCUUGCUGUUUUGACGUUACCGACAGAAUAAGCACCGGCUAACUCUGUGCCAGCAGCCGCGGUAAUACAGAGGGUGCAAGCGUUAAUCGGAUUUACUGGGCGUAAAGCGUGCGUAGGCGGCUAAGUGAGUCGGAUGUGAAAUCCCCGAGCUUAACUUGGGAGAUGCAUUCGAUACUGGUUAGCUAGAGUGUGGGAGAGGAUGGGAGAAUUCCAGGUGGAGCGGUGAAAUGCGUAGAGAUGUGGAGGAAUAGCGAUGGCAAAGGCAGCCAUCUGGGAUCAUACAGAAACUAAGAUGCGAAAGAAUGGAGAGCAAACAGG
rnacentral:rRNA from 1 species